rnacentral:lncRNA from 1 species
GCUCAGCUGAAGAAUCUCUGUAAGUAAGCCUCAAUAUAUUUACAGGAUUUUAAAAAUUAAAAGUGACAGAAACCCAACUUAAAUUAGAUUUUUUUUUAAAAAGGCAUUUGUUGAUUCACAAGAUUAAAAUCCUAGAACAGAACUGACUUGAGAGGUAGUGGAAGCAAGAGCAAAUGAGGUCAUCUCUCUUGUUCCUUUUCCAUCUAUCUCUUGUCUCUGUCUUUCUCUGGUUGAUAUUGUGUGAGUUGUUAUAGGAGAUGGCUUCUUCCAAGCAGAGGGUGAGGUGGCCCCAGCUAGUGGUGGCUCACAUCACCAUCCUUACAGGUCUUUCCUUAUGUCUUUUCCUUAUGUCCAUUUUGAAUCUCAAGAGGGACUCAUUGGCCUCUUUGGGUGACAUGUCCCUCUCUGAAGUAAACAUUGUGUGUGGGAUAGGGGGAGUGCUGAUGUGCAAGGCCAGGACUACCCCUACUUAAAAUAUUCAAAUGAAUUCCUUGCAGGAGAGAACAGUCUUAUCACUGAAAGAUGUUAAGGGAGGAAUGUUGGGGAGGAAAAACAGCAAUAAUCAACACAUCCAGCUUCUUUAUCUGUAUGUUGGUUAAAUAAUCUAAAAUGUGAUAACAUUGUAGGUGUCUGGAAUAUAAUAAGCAUAGCAAGUGUUAUGGUAUUAGCAAUCAUCCAACCUUAGUACUUCCAGUUGUCAGUAAAUUCUUCCACUUCUCUGUAUCACUUACACUCAGUAAAGAACUUUCUCCUGUGUCUGUGCCAAGAAUUGCUUGAAUUCCUACCUGUGGGCCUCAGUUUCUAGGUAACUGGGUUCCUGAUCGUUCACCAUUGCAAUUUCUCAAAUAUACCUGCUUCUGCUUUGCCUAAGCAGAGAUCUUAUGUAAGCAUCAAAUUAGCCACAGGAAACAGAUGGUCCACUUGAAUUGGGUAAUUUGAAGAGAGUUUAAUAAAGGGAUUAUUUAUAAAGGUGUUGUCAGGUUAGAGGGAAAUCACAAGGGAUAGUGCAAUACCCCGAGCUGUUGAAAGAGUACUGUUGUUGCACAAGGUUUGAUGGGACAAAGGACAGAAUGGUGACUGGAGGUGGAAAGAGAGGGAUACCUGGAAGAAACUGAGAAAUCCUGUUCACCUGUAUUACCUCACAAAGAAGGCUAUCGUGGGUAAAUACCCUGGCCUCCUAACCUCACCACCUACCUUCUUCCUGAUUUCCAUUGCUCCCCCAUUGGUUGAAUUCAGUGGGAAGCCAUAGGCUGAAGGAGCCUGUUGAACAACCCAAAAGUCUGCCCCUUUCCUGGGGCACAGAGAAAGUUGAGAAAGAGAAAAGUCUAGAACAAAUGGGAAGCAUUCAGCAUCCUGAACUGAGUUUAGAUGCUUUUUCCCAGGGUAAAACAACUUAUUCUUGUCUGUUCAGAAUUUCCCUGCUCUUGAUGUGGGGAACUCUGAAUUUCUAUAGCCUGGAAGGGGAAAGGUCGCUGCCAGUGUCUAUUAUUUAAUGAAGCAAAAUGCUGGUUGCAAGUGCCUGGGAAUUUGCAACCUCAUAACAGGAGGUCUUGUUCUUUAGUUGUGUCUCUUGAGUGGAUCCUAAAUCAAACCAUUUCUUGAAGAGACAGCUUUACUACUGGGCAACUGGAAAGAAUUAGCACCAAGAAAGGAGAGCUUAUUACCUUAUGUGGUCAGGGGAGGAGGCAACUUGGCUGACUUGGAAGACUGGUCUGUCGACAUGUUCCACAGAUACCGAGUUCACCUCAUGUUUAAAAUGUUUAGGAUGGAAGCCAAGGAUGGAGAGCAGGGGGAGUGAAAAAUGCAUAGUAAUGAAAGGGGGACUCGGUGAGGUGAACACAGAUUGGUGCAAAAUAUAGACAGAUAAGAGAGGAGACAAGGGUUGAGGUGCCCGAUGGCAAAGUGGAAAGUGAGAAGUGCUAGAGAAAAACUUUCAACCUGGGAGCCACAGGCAAUCCUGUGGUGGAGAGAAAGAGCAGACUUUAGUUCAGCUUUGGCAGUUGCAGAUGAACAGGGUCCAAGCAGCUGCUGAUUAAUACAGUUGUAGGAGAAUGCAGGCCUGGCUGGGAUAUCGGCUCUUUGUUUUGAAUCCUGAUUUUUUUUUCCCCCUGAAACACCUUGGAAGCCACUUAGCCAAAGCAAGUGAGGAAAAGAGAAAGCCAGGCUGUCUGGCAGGCCUGCAGAGCAGGGGACUUGCUGAGCUACUCGAUGGGUGAUUUCAGACCAGCACUUCAGGCGGUGAUCCCAGUGGAGGCCUGCGUAUUUGGGAUAUAUUACUUAAUAUUUCAAAGGAAAAUCACAACCCAAGUGGCCCUGGCUUUAGCGCAUGCUUAUCUUCACCGCCUUUGUCUUUUAGAGAUCAACGCUCUGCCGCUGUGUUGCUAUUGUAAGGAUGGAAAAAAUAGAACCAUUUUAAUGUUGUGCUGUUUGCCUUUCCCGACAGUUAAGGAGCAGCCCAUUAUUAGCUGGCAACACUGUUGUGACAUCAGUAGUGACUUUGCUGCUUGGGAUUCAGCUCAUGAAAUAGCUGCCUCCCUGGUAUAAUUUUUUAAUUUCUUUUUCCUUUUUUUUUUCUUUCCAUCUCUCAUGUUUCAUUCUGAGACAUAUAAUUGGCUAAAGGGCUAUCUAUGCUUUUGGUCUAACUGUUGGUCCUUUUAAGAAUGGGCUGAUAGAGCUACUAACAUAACUACUAGAGCUACGUUAAGUUUGAUGCAGUUCAAGCUUCUGGAGUCCUAGGAGACACUUUCUUAUGGUAGUCCCUGAAUGACAAGUGAGCUGUCUUUGCUGGAGAUGGGCAGGGAGUGGUAGGGAUUUAUUUCCCACGGUUGUCAGGAGGUCCUGGCAUGGGGGAAGGAGAGCCUCUGAGCUGGUCUGGGGCACCAGAGUCUGAACAGGGAGACCAACAGGUCUGAUAUGCAGAGUUGGAGACUAGAAGGUGGGGAAGGACAGUCUGCCAAGAUGAGGACAGUAGAGGCAACAGGAAAUGCAUUAUAUACAAUAAGUAAAAAUAUCUAGGAUAAUCAGAGCCAGGCUUCUCAUUAUUAUUGGUGAUGAAAAAAUAUAGGUAAAAAGAGAAAAAAAUGCAAACUUAAUGGCAUAGGAUUACUGCAGAUAUUGAUGAAGUCUUAUAUUUUUCAAUAUGUGGAGUUGGAGUAAAAUAUAGAUGUGAAAUAACACACUUGGGGCUAGGGCUGGGGCUCAGUGGUAGCACAGUUGCCUAGGAUGUGUGAGGCACUGGGUUUGAUUCUCAGCACUGCAUAUAAAUAAAUAAAAUAAAGGCCUAUCACCAACUAAAAAAAUAUUUUAAAAAUAUACACACUUAUGUGCAUGUGUAUGUAUCUGUGUGUGUGUGUGUGUGUGUGUGUGUGUGUGUGUAUGUGGUAUUGGGAUUUGAACCCAGAGGGUCUCUACCACUGAGUCAAACCUAAGUGUCCAGGACUGCUCUUGAACUUGAGAUCAUCCUACUUCAGCAUCCAAAGUCUCUGUGAUUAAAAGUGUGUGUCACUAUACCCAGUGUGUGUAUAUGCUUUGUGAUCUAAGUUCCAGAUUGAUGCAAAAUUUUAAAAAAUUUAAUAUGAUGGUAAUGCUAUUAUUGAAAUGAGGACAUAGCACUGACAACAUAGUGUUAAAAAAAUUAGAUGAGGUCAUUCAUGCAGCAGGUAUAAUAUAGUGCCUGGCACAGUAAGCUCUCAAUAAUGAUUAUUAUUACCCUUUGGAAGAAGAGCCUAACACGAACACCAUACUGCAUCUUGUUGUUAUUGUUUUCACUAAAAAUAUAUUUUGGAGAUCUUCUCAUAAUGGUGCAUACUUCGCUUUUUAAAAUUAAUAAAUCUAACUGUGUUCUUUACUAUAUUACUUUUAUAAUUAGAAAAAGAAAAGAACCCCAAUAAUUGUAGGGAGAUAAUCUGCGUUAGUAUGUCAUCUGCCGAUGACUCAUAAUUUAAUUAAUUCUUGUUGCUAAUGGAAACCUCUGGUUGAAUAAGGCAUGGUUGUAUUUUAAUAGCAGCACUUUGGUGGAGAGAAUAAGAAACUAUAACCAACACCAAAUCUAUGGACCUAGGGAUAUUCACACUAAUUUUUCCUACUUUUAUAAAGCUCUGUAUUAAAAUACUAACUAAGGGAAGCAGCUGUUAAACUUCAUUUCUUCCUUCUAACAAAAAUCCCUAUUUAAGGUCUGCUGUGACCAGACUCUACUCACUGGGGUAGGGAGGCAGUCAUGAGCAAAACAGCCCUGCCCUCCUGGAGCUCCCUAAUCCUAGCGGUGGGGGCACAGGAAAUAAACAUCACAGCUAUUCCUUUUCAUCAUGGAGAAGCGUAAUGUGAUAAUUUUUUGGUUGGUGCCUUAUUAGUCAUUUGACUUUUAGUAACCUUUUGAGUCUUGGUUUCCAUACAUCGAAAAUAGAGAUCAUAAUAAAUAUCUUAUGAGGAUGUUGUAAUCAAAUAUGUAAAAUGACUGGCAUAAAGCCAACCCCUUAGCAGGUGUACUUGCUAAAUAGAAGCCACUAUUAUAUGUAAAUUGUACAGCUUUGGGUUCUUGUUUUUGAGACUAUGUACAAAGGGUUGCUUUGAUUUCUAGUGAAGUUGUUUUCUUUCCCAGGUUGGGUGUGUCAAUGGGCACCCUGGGUAUACCUUAUCAUCCUGUGCUGAGACCAUUAGUCACUUUGUCUUUACUAUCCUUUUAUCAUCUCCCACCAAUAGGAAUAGGAAGUCCAUCCUUCUCCUGGGUUCCCUCUAGAAGGAACCCCAAGAAACCUGUCAUGAUCUCUUGUCACCUACCUUGCAUCUCACACUCUGAAUAGUUUCUCUGCACUGUACUGUAAUUGAGUUUUCCAAGAAGCUUUUCCCAGAGCCCAGGGCUUUCACUAAGCUCUCCAAAGCUCACACAUCCAGACCUGGCCUUGUUGGCCAUGCUAUAUAUUUCAGCUUUUAUCCAGAGAACACUGGAUAGGGAAAGGUUUUUUUGUACCGGGGAUUGAACUCAGGGGCACUCGACCACUGAGUCACAUCCCCAGCCCUAUUUUGAUUUUUACUUAGAGAUAGGGUCUCACUGAGUUGCUUAGUGCCUUUCUUUGCCGAGGCUGGCUUUGAACUUCCGGAUUCUCCUGCCUUAGGCUCCCGAGCCGCUGGGAUUACAGGCGUGUGCCGCUUCACCCAUCCAAUAGAAAGGUUUUAAUAGGGAGAACUACUUGACUUCCUUUAUAUUGUAAAUGGAAUCCUCAGGUUGUUCUGUAAAAAUGGGGUAGAAGGGUCAAAAGAGAAAGCUGGGAGAUGGGGAGGGUCCAGCGGUCACCUCGAGGGCAAUAGCAGAAACUGGUCAGGAUGGUAGAGAGGAGAAGGAAACAAGCUUGAGUUCUAUCUGUUUGGAGCCAGAAUUGAUAGAACUUGUUGGUGAAUUCAGUGGAACAGUAAGAAGGAGUAGGGAAGUUUUCAAUUGGAACAUUUGGGUGGAUUUAUAUGGCUGUACCAUUUACUAAAAAUGAGAAAGAUCGUGAUAUUAAAACUCUACUAAGUGCUACAAGAUCCAAGUUGAGUGUUUGACUCUACAGGGACCAGUGGGUACUCUUGGGGUUUAUAUAUAACCCUAACCAAACUUCAGGGUCCCAGCUCAGUCUCUGAAGGUCUGUGCAUGGCCAAGACCACUUCAAACUCCACUCACAGAGCUUCUAGUCCUCUGCAAACCUUACUCCCUUGCCAAACCCAUUGGUCUUCUUGGACCACAGAAGUUUCUUUCCUUCUCUAGACAUGCUCAUCUUCCACCUCUGUGUGAUUGAGGGUGGAAAAAGCAUCCUUCCUGCAGAGAAUGGCCUCUAUCACAUGUCCUGUAAAAACAAUUACCACCCCCCUCCCUCUCAAAAAACUCCAAGUAUACUUCCCAAAGUCUGGGUUCUUCAAUCAUAAAGUAUGGAAAGUGAUAGAGAGUUCAGUUUACAAACAACAGUUUAUCAUUCCUCCGAAAAAAGUUUUCUUGAAUUCCUCAAGAGCACAGACUGGUUAAAAAGCCCAUGAUCUCAUUAAGAAGCAAGUACUUCAACAUACUUAAUACCUUCAAGAAUGUAGCCUCUACACUCAGAGGUAUGGAAAAUUUACUGUCUUCCCCAAGAACAAAAACCUAAGUUUUUAUAAACAAAGGGUCAUUCACAUGAAUAAAAAAUAAGAACAACUUCGAAGUCAUUGGGCAAUCAAGCUAACAGCCUACAGUGGAUGCCCUCCUAUGUGUACCUAAGGAAGCCUUUCUGUAGAAUGAGCUCCUGUUCCCACUCUCACUCCAAAAGUCUGCGGUCAGAUAACUGAGUCUUCUUCUGAAGUGACACCAGGUUUGCUGUCCAGCACAACUCCUGCAAAUGACUUGAUCCAGAGCAACAUAUCCUAAGACAAGAGAGGGAUAGGCAGACAUUCCUGGGAAACAGGUUGAAGUACACAGGAUCUUAGUGUACAAAAAGCCAUCGCUCGGUUCUCUUAGCCCUGCUUCUUUCAUCUCCCUGACUUUGACAUCUGUGAAGCACUCUUGUUUCCCUCUCUGAAAAGCUGAUGCUUCAGAGUAGGAAUAAUAGUGAGUAGGAAUAACAGCUCAUAGCCUUUGUUAAUUCCUUUCUGUGAAGCAGCGGACAAUAUGUUAAGCACCCUACAUACACGCUCUCAUAGACUUGGGAUAAUUGGGCCAGGUAGUAAAGUCACUGUACUCAUUUUACACAGGAAAACAUCCAAGGGUGGGAGAUGAAGCCCUUUGCUUCAGGCGACCUAUUUGGUGUCCGAGUCUCAGGAUUUGGUGACUUCUUUCUGCUUUGCGCUCCCUUUUCAUGUUUCUCCUGGCAUGUGCUUCCUGUUACCAGCCUCUUCAUUCAGCUAACUUCCCCACAACAGAUUGAUCUUGCCAAGUUCUCAGGUGCCCCGAGGGUUCCCUGGCAACACUUGCUCUAGUCUUCAGCCCUCCUUGAAAGCGCUCUCUGCUGCCGCCACCUGGCAAGCUUGAGCAUCGAUUGGUUUCCUUGGUAGUACACAUUUGCCUGGAAGAAAAGCUUGGAUUUCCCUCCGACCUCUAUUUUAAUAAUCAGAUGUUUAGUUAUUACCAUUUAAUUUAAAAUAAGAGUGAUCAAAUAUCGAGCUCAGGAUCUAAGAAUGCACUGAAGCUCUCAAAAAUGGACAUAAAAAAUGUAAAUUUAACUUGUAAUUGGAUACAUGGGUCCCCCAGAGAAGUUAAUGGGAAGAAUAGAUGUUUCAAAUUCAAAAUCCUCUGAGGCUUUUGCAAUAGAUAAGAAAUUUUGAUAUUUUUCAAAGUACUUUGUGUGUCUUUAGUGUAUUUCUUCUUUACAAAUAUAUUUGUUCGUGAAACUUUGCCAGCGUGCUUCAGGAAAGCCAGUAUAAAAUGCUAAGUUUAUAGUUUUGAGAAAGCCAUUAAUUCUUAGCUUAUUAGAAAUAAGUCCAUGAGAGGUCGGUAAUAGUAUUUUGGAAAGUUAAAUUAUUUAUUUGAUUCUCUUGUGUGUCAAGCAUCCAGUAUUCAGAACAUGUUUGACAAAUUCUAAGGAGAACUUAAAUAGCUUUUAUAAGUUAUGGAUUGUGUUGGGGGGGAAGAAUAUUAUUUGACUUGGGUUAACCCUGGAAUUUUUCUUAAAUACACAGUUGUUUGAAAUAAAUAAACAAUAAAAUACUGUACUACUACAAUGAAAUGGGUAUCCUGUUCCUCACAGCUAAUGCCUUUCUAAACAUUUGGCUUUCUUACCGUACGAUUAACACUGUUAUUUCCAGGCCAAUCAAUAGGCACAACUCCAAGAUUAAGAGCAAUUUGGAUCAUUAUUCUCCUUUCAUUACAUAUUCAUUAUUUUCUGUUUGAAUAAGACCCAUAAUCAGUGUUAUUUACCAAUCUUUAUGGUGAAACUUUAAACCACUGAUUGUUCCUAUCUUUGCAGGUAUUAAAUGCCAUUUCAAAUAGCCUUUCAAUAAUUCUGCAGUUGCUAAUGAAGUCCAUUUUUCCAGAUUUUUCAGUUCACUGAAGGAACAUUGAACCCCAAGAGUCUUUAAAAAGUAUUUGUUGUUUAAUUGGAGGCAGCUGUUCCUAAAGUUCCUAAGUGUAUAAAAGUGCUUUCCCCCCCUUCUUUAAUAGCUUUUUAUCACAGUUUAAGAGUUAGACUUAAAAUAUAUACAAAGUUUGUAUGAAGGUCCCCUGAAAUUCUUUGAUACUGAAAAUAUUAAAUAUUAUAACUAACAUGCAAGAAAUUACAGGACAACACCCUUUAAUUUUGGAUUUAAUUACUCAAUCCUAAAAAAAUAUAUAUUCUCUUGUUCCUUUGGGUAAAUUUUUUCAACAAAAGUUCUUGGUUUAUUUUAGUUAAUUCUAACGCAUGUACAUUUUGUAUUACUUGAAUGCAACAUUUUUUUCCCGCCUUGUCCUUGAAUUCUUUCCAAGUAUCAUUAAGUAUUGGAUACAUACGGUAAUAGCAGAUUUAGUUAAAUGUCACUAUUAAUACAUCUUAUAACCUUUAACAUUCUGUACGAGAAAUUUCAGAAAGAAGCCCUUACAUGGAGAUCCAAUGUCCAGAAUAACAAGAGCCAAACAUAAUGAUUUUACAGUUGAAGGAUAGCCAAGAUGCACAUUUUCUGAGUGUGGUUUUACUGGGAGUCUGUAUGCAGAUAAAAUAUGGCUUUUAAGAACAAAAUCUUCAUGGAAAAGGCCUUUAUUGUCAUAGCACUGGGCUGACUUUCAAGCCAAGGUCAAAGUACUUUCUGCAGUUCUAUUUUUGGGUUUCCCAUUUCUCAACAGGACGUUCCCAAUUUUGAGUUAGUGCUACAAGAUGAAGACACAGACCGACUGGUGCCUUGGAAGGAGCAGGAGUGCCUCCUUUUGUGGCUUCCUCUGCAACCAUUGCAGACUCUAUGCUCUGUGCAUCUCUUCUGAGAUUGGCAUUUGCGACCCGCCAUCUUGGUUGGUCACCUGCCUCCAGCAAACAGUAUGGUCUCUGAGAAGGCAAAGGCAUACCUAGGCUUCAUUCUCCUCUUGCUUCUUUCGGAUUUUUCUAAGAGAGUGGCCACCUUAUGUUAUUGUUAAUUUCUUGGUACCAGGGAUGAUUGAACCCAGGGAUGCUUAACCCCUAAGCCACAUCCCUAGCCCUCUUUACUUUUUAUUUUAAGACAGGGUCUCACUAAGUUGCUUAGGGCCUCACUAAGUUACUAAGUUGCUGAAGCAACUUUGAACUUGAGAUCCUCCUGUGUCAGCCUCCAGAGUCACUGGGAUUAUAGACCCGUGCCACUGAGCAGCCAUAUUGUGGUUAUUAACCAUGCAUUAUCGAGAUUUUCAAACUGUAAACCUGAAGAAAAAAAAUAGUGAGGACAAAGUGGUUUAAUUCAGAUUGGCGGGGUGGUGGGGUGGUUGAAAGGGAAGAUCCAGAAAUCAAAAGCGAAUUGAUCAAAAAUAGCAAAUGCUAUUCUUUGUUUGAAAUUGAAUACAGAGGUAACUGAAGUCUGUAAAUAAAUAAGUAAAUAUCUUUCAAUUUUAUUUUAUGGAACAAUAAAACUUAAAAAAAUGGGAGAAAGAAAAGCAAGCAAACUUGAUGUAGUAGAAUCUCUAAGGAGAAAAUAUCUCUUGACGUAACUACGCAUUAUUUUCUCAAGAAUUAAUCACUAGAUUGUUAAGAAGAGUAAUCUCUGAAUUUUUAAAGGCAGCACUUUGCGGGGAGCAUAGGAAAAAUGGAGGAAGUUUGAUUGGGCAAAGGGAAGGGAGUGGGGUAUGGGGGCAGGAAAGAUGGUGAAAUGAGAUGGACAUCACUACCCUAGGUACAUGUAUGACUGCACAUAUGCGAUGCUACAUCUUGUACAAUCAAAGAAAUGAAAAGUUGUGCUGCAAUUGUGUACAAUGAAUCAAAAUACAUUCUGCUGUCAUCUAUACCUAAUUAAAACAAAUAAAUAAAUUACAAAAAAUUUAGAAGCACAUAUAUUAUUAAAAUAUUUUCUUUUCUUUUUUUUAGUGAAAGAAGAUGUAAAUAUUCUGCCCUUAAUGUCAGAACAUGUUGCAUCUUCUUGCACUGCCAAUAACUUCUAUGUCCCUUGCGUAAUAGCCCCAUCUUGUGGCUAUUUGUCAAUUUUUUACUAAAGAUAUGUUGCAUUUUCACAAUGAUGGGCAUCAGUGAAAUCCUGUCUUUUAAUUUUCCUUACGUGCUGAAUAAAAUUAAGCAGGAAAGAAAAAAGGGCAUGCAUCAAUUCAUCCUAAAGGACCACAGAUGGGCUAGGAGAAGAGAUGAUAGGUGUUCAAUAAUAUUGGCUGCAUUAACAUUAAGUAAAGGGCAAGUUUUAUUAAUAGGAGGAGGGAGGGCCAGGAAGUGCCUACAGUGAGAGUACCAUAGAUCCCUUCUAAUCGUGAUAAGGCAUUGGACCUCAUAUCUGUUGUUCCCUAGGCCUGGGAGACUUACCACUUAACAAAGAGCUUGGCAAUGCCCAGUUUUUAUUGCGGAGCACUCUUUAUUUUCACAUGGAAGAAAUAUAGUUGGAGCUAGCUUCAUUAGAAUAGGAAGUGAACAGCUCAUGCAAUCAAACAGCCAGAAGGACAGUGGAAGGGGUUGACCCAGGCAGAUCUGAAGCAGGCAUCUGAAGCUAGAUGGACUUUCCUCAUCCUGGGUCUCUGAGUGAUUUUGUUCAUUGUCUUGUGCUCUUCUCUGCUUCUUCUCUUUUCUUUAUAGCUUCCAGGCGCACAUCUGGACCCAUAGCUCUCUAACUGGAAGAAAAGAGCCCUCUUGUCCAGCCAAAGUUUUGCAAAAAGUCAUGGAAGAAGUCCAUCUGGUUUCUUUGGGCCACACAACCCUACUUUGACAAAUUGCAAUGGCCAAGGGAGUGAGCUACAUGAACUGGCUAAGCUUGGAUAGGUUGUCCACUGUGGAGAAACAAUCACUGUUGACAAGGAUGUAGGUCUUGUGAAAAGAAGUUUCCAUACAGAAUACCUGUGUACAGGGAGGGAGAGAAGAAACCAUUUAUGUAAGGGAGAAGAAUAGACUGACAAGACUGACUGAAACAAACAGCCUCUGUCCUUCCCCUCCUGUCUGUUUGGCACACCACCCAGCAAAGAUUUGUUUAGUUAGUGAACAAAUUUGUUUGGUUGGUGAACAAAGUUACAACCUCUUCUCCUCCUCUUCUUCUUCCUCCUGUUCCUCCUUUUUCAGCACUGGAGAUUGAACAAAAGAUUUUCCAAACGGAGAAAAGGAUUGGUGUAAAUGGUAGUGGGGUAGAGGGUGGAGGAUGUGUGUGUGUGUGUGUGUGUGUGGGGGGGGGUUGUUUGCAAUUCUCUGGAGCUGAAAAACUACAAGUUACCUUCCCUCUUAAAUUGUGGGGCCUUUAGCCACCUGUGUUCCUCCUGGACCUCUGGAGCCUAUGCUAAGAAUCCUGGCUUUUCUCUGUACAACUUAGGAAACAUCUUUAUCUUUUGGCAUCUUCUUCUCAUUUUGGGAUUAGUGAUGUGCCCAUUCACUGAACACCCCUGUAUUCUUGCUUGCAUAGCCAGGCAUAUAGGACUUCGUCUCUUGACUUUGUUUUAAGAGUUUGAUUCCUAAUCACUCUGAGGGGGGAAAAGAAAGAAGAUAUAGCAAACACAAGAAAGUUUCAAACAUUCAGUAAUCAUACUGAAUUGUCUCCUCUUUUAAGAUAUUUGAAAGACACACAAGGGAUUUUUUUCCCCUUAAAACAUUGCUUUGCUUUGAUUUAAACACUGAGGCAACUUAUGUUGUUAAAAUUAUUUAAAUUCAUAUUUUGCUUUUCUCUUUAACAUUUUGUUUUGAGCAUUUUGUUUCUCAGAUUUUGAAAAUCUGCUCUUGAGACUUCAUAAUAUUUUAUAACUUAUAUAGCUAUUACCAUGCUGUUGAAAUUUUUGUUACUUGCAAUUUUUAUUAUUAUAAAUAAUGAGUUUCACUGUGAUAUUUGGCCAUUCCUUUUUUUUUCUUGAAAAAGACUACUGGAAAUAGGAUUAUUAGAUUAAAAUGCCCAAGUCUUUUAUCAUAGAUUUAGACUUUUCCUUCAUUACUAAAACAUUUUCUGGAAAAUACUAAGAAUACAUGGAAGAAAAUAAAUGUACUUGAUAAGAUCACUGCACACAGAUAGUAAUUGCAACUAUUUGGUUAGAUAUUUUUCUUUUAACCUGUACAUGUACUUUGAACAAAAAGGUAAGUAUAAAGGCACUUUAAUAAAUUUUAUUCACUUAAUAUUCUUAAAAUAACAAUACUCAUAUCCAGUUAGCAAUUUUAAAUGGUGGUAUCUUAUGUAGUCUCUAACAUGGAAGGAUACUGUAAUGAAAAAUACCCGUUAUUGAAUAUUUAGAUUGUUUUUAAUUUAUGAUAUUUUUAAUGAAUUCUCUUUUUUUUAAAAAAUGGGAAUUAAACCCAGAGACACUUUACCACAGAGUUACAUCACCACCUCUUUUUAUUUUUAUUUUGAGACAGACUCUCAACAUGUUGCUAAGGGCCUUGCUAAAUUGCUGAGGCUAGUCUUGAAAUUGCUAUCCUCCUGUCUGGGCCUUUGAGCUGCUGGGAUUACAGGCGUGCUAUGCUAUACCUGGCUGUUUUAAUAGAUUCUGAUGCAUAAAUCUUGGUGCAUAUGUCCGACAUGGACAUGAGGUGACUAUGUUUAAAGGAAUGCUUUAAAUAUUUAGACCCAUGGCAUCUAUUUGUGGUCUGUCCGUGCCCCCAGAUCUUAGGGAUCUGUUUGGCUGACAAGACUUAAAUAAUGUAUUUAGUCCCAGGUGUGGAAAGGGAUUAGUACAGUGAGAAGGCAGCACAUCACCAAGACUCUUUCUCAUUUUAGUAGAAUGAAAACAAACACAAUCUCAGAUUGGGUAGCCAGCAGUGUAAUUUGGGAAACUUGCUAGGAAUAGAUGUAUUUGGAGAGGAAGAAAUGAGAUAGAAUCCUGGAUGGUGAUAAGUGCUCAAUAAAUGUUAGAAAAAGAAGGGUUACAUAUCUGGACAAAAAUGCCUUUGAAUAGUGAGGGAUGGGGAGCAAUAGCACUUGCAUAUGAAGGAAAGCUUUAUAUGACAAGACAAGCCCCAGGGCUUUGUUUUAUGUUGUUUAUGUAGGAAAAUCUCAGACAGGGCCUUCCCAAGAGACUGUCUCUGUUAGCCACUGUCUGCUCCUAGCUGUUACCAGGGCGGCCCCUUCCUCCCACUGCAGCAGAGACCUGCUUGCCUGACCAGGAAGAAUUGAGCUGUUGAGAAACGAGCUGCCCACCUACUGUUAAAUAAUGCUCUGUCUCUAACAUAGAAUUUCCACUUAGGAAAAUGUGCUGUGAACUUGGCUGCCGUAUUUACUACGCAUCUUCCUGACAAGCCUGUACUGCAGCUCCAGGGCCCAGCUCCAAAUUGGCAAGUGGUCUCUGGAGACUUUGUGUCAUCAGGAGCCAGACCCAAGUAGGAAUGGGGUAGGGUUAGCAGCUAGUCUGCCAGGUGGCCUGGUGGAGUCAAUGAGGAGACUUAAGCAGGAGAGCUCAUCAGUGGAUGAUGGCCCUCCUGGAACAUCUAGCCACGCGCACAGAGUCACUUAAGUAGCAGGAGUUCCCAUCAGAAUUAGGCUUUACUGCAGUAUAGGCUGCAAGGCAGUAAGUUUUUGUUAUGUGCUUUCUAGAAUUCAGACUAUAGCCAGUUUCCUUAAUAGUUGUCUAAUCACACUCCAUCUCUUAUUUAAAAAUACAGUUAAUCUGGAUCUUUCCCCCUCAUAAUGUCAGACAGGUGAUGGGCUUCUGAUAAUAAGUGUUCCUUUGGCUGCACAGUUACAGUUCAUCAAGACAGUGGCAGCCAAUGGCUGCAACACAGUGUAAAGCUAGACAAGGAAACACAAGACAUGUGCCUUAUAUGGUUUGCCACGGAUAAUACACUUAUUCCUUAUCAUCAAAACACAAAAACAGCCCCAUACAUAGAGAGCAUACCUUCUACUACUUCUUCCUCCUGAUCAAACAUCCAGACCCUUGAGGGAAAUUUGGUUUCAAAUAACACUUGGAUCACAGGUUACUUUUGAAAAUGAUGCUUCCAUUCCAAAAUGAUCCUUCUGUUCUGUAGCAAUGUAUGAUCUUAGAAUGUUUAGUUGUAUUGAUUUAUAGGGAACAGAAAACUUGGUCCAGCAAGUGUAUGGAUAAUAAAAUUAUCUGCAUUCCUAUUCCACUAAAAAUCUUCUGAGAAUGAUUUCAUUUAUUUAUUUAUAUUGGUGCUGGAGUUUGAAGCCAGGAUCUUGUGCAUACUAUACUAAUUGUAAACUCUAUCACUGAGCUGCCUCUCCUUCUAAACAUCCCAUACUGAGUGUAGUUAAAUUAAUCUUGAGUAUGGUCAUUAAAAAAUAGCAGAUUUUAAAAGACCAUAAUUAGAAAAAAGACAGAACAUAAAUCUUUUUUAGAGAGAGAGAGAGAGAGAGAGAGAGAGAGAAAGAAAGAAUUUUUUAAUAUUUAUUUUUAAGUUUUUGGUGGACACAACAUCUUUAUUUUAUUUUUAUGUGGUGCUGAGGAUCAAACCCAGCGCUCUGCGCAUGCCAGGCGAGCGUGUUACCGCUUGAGCCACAUCCCCAGCCGAGAACAUAAAUUUUAUCCUAACCAUUUUUAAGUGUAGAGUUUAAUGAUGUCAAAUAUAUGCAUAUUGUUGUAAAACAAAUUUCUAUAAUUUUUUCAUCUUGCAAAACCAAAACCCUGUUCCUAUGAAACAACAACUUCCCAUUCCCUCUUCUUCUUGAGAUAGGAGAAAUAAGGAUAGGCAGAAAGAAGGCUAACAGGAACAAGAAAAAGGCACUCUAACUUUAAAUCUAAGGUGUUCUAUGAACACCCUCAUCUUCACUCCCCUGGCCUGUUUUUCUCUCAAUGAAAAUUCUUCAUAGACCCUUGAAUCCUAGAGGAUGAGGGUCAAGAAGAUUACUAUCUACAUGCAUUGUUAGCUUAUACAAUGUAUUUUCUUUAGAUUAAAUAAAGCCAAGGGGAAACAUUGUUAGAGACUUCUGAUAUGGGUACAUUCCAGACAUUAUGUAUUGACUGUCUGAUGUCAACCUAGAGAUACUGAGAACAACUAGACCAGUGUGACUACCCUGUGCUUCAUGGUGAAGAAACUGGAGCUCACCAGGAUUAUGUCACCCCCACGUACUUCCCAUGUUCACUAUUUAUGAAGUUUCUUUUAAUAGAAGAGCCCAAGACUCCAAAAGUGUUCUCAUUCUCAAGUGCCCAUAUUCCUUCUCCAUUUGAAUGUAUAUCCUGCUCUAGUUGCUUGCUUUCUUGAAUAAAUCUCCUUGUUUUCCCAAAUAAAUCUCUGUGUCUCUUUUGAUGCAUUCUGAAAUUCCUUUCUGUGGUAUAUCAAGUUCCUUCCAGGGCUGAGGACCUGUUUAGACCCCUAUCCAGCAACACUGCCAGCCCUUUGCAGCCACCAUUCUGCUGUUUCUAUGAGUUUAGCUACUUUAUAGAUCUCAGUUUUUGUAUAUAUUGUUUCUUUUUUCUACAUUUUAAAAUUGGUACAUUAUAAUGAUUUAUAAGGUAGGAUUUAUUGUCAAGUUAUAAAUAUACAUAAUUGUAUGUCUCAUGUAAGUGAAACCAUAUGAUAUUUGUCUCUUUACAAUUGGUUUAUUUUACUAAAUCUUCUCAAGAGACAUCCAUGUUAUAGUAUGUAAUAGGAUUUUAUCUUUCAAAGGCUGAAUGAUAUUCCAUUGUAUGUAUAUACUACAUUGUGUUUAUCCAUUCAUCUGCUGAUGGACAUUGUUUCUAUCCCUUGACUAUUGUGAAUAGUACUGCUAUAAACAUGGAUGUGCUAAUAUCUCUUUAGAUUCUGCUUUCAGUUCCUUUCACUCUAUAUCCAGAAGUAGGAUUACUAGAUAAUGUGGUGAUUCUAUUUCUAAUUUUUGGAAGAACCACUUACACUGCUUUCCAUAGCACCAUGCCAAUGGUGAGCAAGUCUGCCUUUUUUGUUUAUUUGUGUUUUGCAGCACUGGGUAUCAAACCCAGGACUUGCAUAUACCAGACAAGUGCUUUGCCAAUGAGCUACACCCCUCACCCUAUAAAUGCUUUUUUUUUCUUACUAUCAGUUGAGAAAAGAUUCUUUAGUCUUUCCACGAAGACCUAUCUUUUAGUGUCUUUGGUAUUUAUUGAGUACUUUGCAGGGAUCAAUUUGUCACUUGAAUGCAUUACCUUGGGCAGAGGUUUAUAGGAGAUUUCUGUUCAACCUUAUAUAGUUCACAAAAUAAUUCUUGUGAACUAGAUAAGGUUGUACAAUUCUAUGAUGUUUGUGUGCUUAUACCAUUUUAUUUAAAAAGAAAACCAAAUUCAGAAAACAAAUGUCAUGGGUCUUGGUCUUGCCUAGCCUAGCCUAUUCUUUUUUUCUGUGGAAUUUGGACUUGGGGUAGUUUGGACAACUUAGAUUGCUAGUCCUGCACGGAGAUGGAGGAUUUCUCAAUAAUUAAGUGUUGAGAUGGUCUCCUCUUUUCACCCUACAAGCUGAAAUCAGAUGGUUGAUAUUUCAGGCACAGGUCCAAUUCUCUUCAAUUUCCCUCUCUGAACCAAAGGGAGAGCCCAGAAUGAGUGACUAGACUUUGUAACGGCUCAUUAUGAGACCAUCUAUUAUGCUGUUUAGUAUGCAGUAUGUUAAUAAGCCAAGAUAUUAUGGCGGAGGGUCCAUAACUAAUCUACCCUAAUAAAUAAGAGUAAUGGCAGUGGUACUAGUAUAUUCUAUGGAUAUAAUGUGCUUCCUGCAAAGUGUGACAUUUUAAAUAAACUUUAUUCUUGCAGUAUUUAAAAAAACAUAAAGGCAGUAAUGAAAUAUAGAGCACAACAUUAGUUGACACAGCAAUUCCUGCCUCCCAAGACCCUGCUAAAUAGCCAGAGCUUAAAUCUUCAUCUUGAAAUAUACAGCUCUUCUAUGAUUUUAAGUGAGUUGUAAAACUUUUAUGGAGUGCGCCCUAACUUUAUUUUAAAAAUAUUCUCUGUUUUUAUGACAAAGGUGACCCAGAAGUACCUUGUGAAUAAUAGAACAACAUAUUUAAGCUAUUAAAUUCCCCUCUCUGGACAAUACAUAUGCGUUCCUGGUACUUAUCUCUCUCCUGGUUGGAAGUGGGAACUGAGAGAGAUCUUGAAUUGACAUUUUACCUAAAACUUACUGAUUUUUGACUCUAUAUGUAACAAAGUUUUAUUCCAAUGGGUACAAUCAAAUUUUCUGCUACCACAUUAAAAUAAAGAUUCAGAAACUAAAGCCAGCAAUUACAUAGAAAAAUGUAAAUCUCUGUACAUCUGUGAGUUGAAAUUGUGAAAUUUUCAUACUCCCAAUACCUAGUUAGUUUCUGGACAUGCAGCCCUUUAAGCUGAUGUAGGCCUAUGGGAUGCGUUUAUUCCCAUAUAUAGAGAACUAAAUUUAAGUCCAAAAACUAAUUAAGAUCUCAAAUGCUUUCCAUUUAUUGCCAAAUUUCAUCACUGAGUUACAAUUCUCCGAUUACAUCAAACUCCUGUAAAUUUUUCAAUGAAGAACAGACAAUUCAUUGCUACCUUUCUUUGUUUCUCCUUUGUAAGCUUACUUACUUUGAAAAUAGUUGCAGUCUGCUAAAUAUAUAUAGGUACAUAUAAAGUAAAUAUAUUUAUAUGUAUGAAUACACAGAUCGGCCUUCAGUUUCACACAAUAUGUGAAGCCUCAUUUGGAUGUAAUGACAAUUGGCAGUGUUCAAAGAAUGAGAAAACAACAGAUUCAUCUAUUUAUUUUUUCCUCUUUCCUACUGAAGUCACAUAGAAUAACUAGACUGUAGCCUAGUCAAUGAAAGGCAUUUAGUACACAGCUCCUUGUCAGUGCUGCCACCUAAACAUUAUUCAAAGGACACUCGUUUUAGUCACUGAGUAGAAGUUCAGCUUUCUGUGAGUCUCCUGAAAUAUCUACUUUCAAAAAUAUUUGUAAGAAUUAAAUUUUUUUUUUUUUUACAGAAUUCAAGUGUCUUGUUAAGACCGAUUGGAGUCUGGUAAUAUCCUCUGUUCUGAUAUUUAUAAAGAGCAGAGAACAGGGCGCUCUAUCUUUCUCACUAGGAAUCCACUGAGUGAGGCUCCUUUCUAUCUUCUCCUUUCUCUGCUCACUCAACUCCCAGCCUUGGAUUCUUUCUAAGGGAAGAAGGCGAGAGAGGUGUCAACACAGUGGGAGGAGUGAGCUGAGUGGCCAGCAGGCCGGGGUGACAGCUCCCUGUGUGUGUGGGUUGUGCACUUGGCAUCUCUGGUUAGAGAGCUCGUGGGGAUGGGGGAGAGACACCCUUUAGUUCAGGGAAUGAUAGUACAAGUGGGCCCUCCUAGGUAAAGCUGUAAUGGAGGGAAAAGGAUGUGUCUCCUUUUGUCACUAGAAAUUUCCAUUCUUCUCAUGCUCAUCAGAGAAGUAGGAGACAGAUCAGCGGAUCCAGGGCUGCAGCAGGGAGCAGGCUGAGGAGGGUGGGGAGGGCAGGGAGGCCCCAGCUGUUGGUGGAGAAGGGAGAACGUAGAGAAAAGGAGCCUCCUCCUCCAAUCGCUUUCCUUGGGCAUCAUUCCAUUGCUCAGAAGCUUUCUUAAAUGCCUUCCACCACAAUCUGAAGUGGUCAAACCACCAUAUCGCUCUAAGAAAGGAUUGAAAGACACUUCAACCAGGGCCCGUGUAGGCUAUUUUUCAGCAAUUUAUGUCCUCCAAGGUGAAAGGGAAUACAGUACUCUAAACACACACACACACACACACACACACACACACAUGAAAUUCUCUCUUAAUAUCAUGUGGAAAAUGCAUGAUUUAUUUUAUAAAUAUCCCUGUAGCUUUUGGCUUAGGUGUACACAAACAUAAUUAUUUCAAAGACUCUUUCAAAGGGCUAGCAUGAAGGAGCUUUUUGGAGCGAUGGGUCUGAAUCCUGAAAGAACGUACACAAAUCUAUUCCUGUGUUAAAAGUCAGAACUACAUUCCAAAAGAAAAAGUCAAUUUUGCUGUAUUAUAAUUAAAUUUUUUUUUACUGCCACAAAAACAAACAAACAAACAAACAAAACCCAGCUUCUUUAUGAGAUCCAAGUUCCCUCUCUCACUCUCUAAUUUGUAUAAGGGCUAAGGUGACUAUUGAGUAGAGACUAGAUUUACUUCAAAGGCCCAGACUGGCUCUAUGAAAACACUGAUGUCCCAACCAACACUUGUUAAACAACACUUGUUAAAUUCUUGCUGUGGAGUUCCCAAAAUGUCACUUCCCUUGAGGAGCUAAUAUUUUCAGAUUGCAUGAAUGGACUAAAACCAGGUCUGUGUGUCUGUCUCAGCUUCUCACUGUCAAGUUCUCUGUUCUUCGCCAGUGGUCCUCCUUUGCAAAGCGGGUUUAAUCUGUUGUUUCCUCAGAAAGGUUGGUCUGAAGCUUUCUUAGGCAGGGUUCCAGGGAGAGAGCUCUAUAAACAACCCCAUGCCUUAUGUGCAUGGGCAUUAUUAUGACCAGCUGUGUAUGCUCUCCAGUCAACCCUAGGCAGCAGGGUAGAGCCGGCUUUGCUGCUCCUUCAUUAAAAAUGAGAAAUUUGUCUUCCCAUAGGUCCCCAGGAUACUUUAAGUGUUGAUAGUCCCAGUUUGGCAGAGAGGAAACACAACUCCUGCUAUCCCAGGAAGAAGGGGGUGAACAGCCGAGGAUGACAUCAGAGAGCAGGAGAAGUUGGCUGGAGCAGGAUGGGAAACUCCAGGUGCAGGCCCUGGAAAUGUCCAUUGCAGCUGGACAACCACCCCGGCCAGUGGGGGGCCCAUGCUUCCCUAGUGUCAAGGACAUUAACACAACACCUGUGGACCAGAGACCAGUGGGACAACAUGGCAGCUUAAUGGAAGGCCCUUUGGUCUGUUUUUACUUUCUCCAAAUUUUGAUAGUGACAUGAUUACAGGAAAAUAUAUCUGGAUUCUAGGAGGAGCAUGAGUGCAAUGGAAAAUGGAAGUAGAUAUAUGAUCCCAGAGAAAGUAAAGAAUAAUAAGAACAAGGGAUAAAGAGAUUAGGCUACCAGCUAGUGAUUCUUAACUUUUAUUGGGCCCUGGACAUCUUUGACUGUCUAGUGAAACCUAUGGUAUCUUUUCAACAUGAUAUGUUUUAAAAAUAAAACACACACAGUUAACAAAGAAAAUUUACAAAGGGUCCCCAUAGAAAUAGGUUAAGAACAGCGAUAUCUAUGGUAUCUAUGGAGCAAUGUGGAUCUUGCACCAUUAUAUAUUUUAAUUUUUUCCAAGAGAAGCCAAGACCUCAAAACUUUAAAAGAAGUUUCCUGAUUUUUAAAUGUCAAUGUCAAAUCUAUUGAAAUUCUGAACCAAUCUAAUUAUGCAUGUGUCUGUGUUGGUUUUGGCUCCUGGUCUUAUAUUGAAACUUCAUUUUAGAGAUUCCAGGAGACUCUUGGUCAACAAUGAAGCAUUACAAUCCCAUAUAGUACCAACAAACAAGACUAGGGACAGUAUUAUGGCCAAACUAGGAAAGCCCAACACUUGGAUUUUUGUCAGUAAAAGAGGACAGAAAUAUGGCAGAGAAGAAACAUGUAUCAAGUACAUCAUAAGAUCAUUAUCAUUUCCCUUCCCUUAGGAUUUUAAUUUUAGUAUCCUACCUUCUAUGAUUUGAUAGAUUCCCACUAACUUGAUUUUACAACUAAUGCAGGUUGAAUGUCUCUAAUCCGGUAAUUUGAAAUCUGAAGUUUUAAGAGCUGACAUGACUUCACAUGUGGAAAACCCCAUCUCUGACCUCAUGUGAUGGGUUAAAGCCAAAACACAGGCACAUUAAAAAUACUGCUUAAAAUGACUUUCAGGCUAUGUGUUUAAGGUGAAUAUGAAAUUUAGUGUUCAGACUUGAGUCAUAUUCCCAAGAUAUCUCAUUCUGAAUAUGUAAACAUUCCAAAAUCUGAAAAGAAAAUGAAAUCUGAGACAUUUGGUCUCCAUGCGUUUUAGAUAAGAGGUACUCAACCUGACAUCAAUUUCACUGGCCUGCUGUCUGAGAAGUAAAUGUUAUGAGCCUGCCCUGCUUCCUCUACCCAGCACAGGCCUUCAUUCCCAGCUUUGCUUCAAGUGCUCCGGGGUCUAGAGAGUUUAGUCCAGGGUCCUGCAAAAUUAGGUGUGGAGGUUCUAUACAGAGAAUGCCUAUACCACCUUCAUUCUUUAACUUAUCCAUUCACUGUUCCCCCCCACCCCCCGCUUUUCCUGGUGUCACCACUCAAGUAAACACAUAUUGAACAUUCAUUAUGUGGCAGACACAGGUGUUGUAUCUAGGGCUCAGGCAUGAAAACAGGAGAGAAAUGUCACAUGCUAAGAAAUGAACAUGGCACGCACAGGAAAUAAUGGAGUCACAGAGGAGUGGCACUUGGUGGUAGUGACUUUGAAAGGGUAAGAAUGAUGAUCUUGGUGGAGUCACCAUCUAGAUGGUCCCUUACUGGAAGCUCAGUACCCUCCAGAAUGGGUAGUCAAGCGGGAAGAGGGUCCACAGAUCAGAAGCCUGGGGGCAGGGUGGGCGAGGGGAGUUUGUGAUGACAGGGAAGCUGAAGUCUUUAGGAAUAGUGGCGGGGGUGGGGGCAGGUAUGAUGAGGUCAUGAGGUUGUUGAGAGAGGAUUUGGAGUUCUGCAGCCCAAUGCUGUUUUACUCUCAAGUACAGAGAAACGACAUUGUAGAAGUUUGUGGUGUUAAGGGAAGAUCUCAUCUCUCAUUGUGACAUUCCAUAAGAAUUAAUGACUCCAAGCAGCAAAGAUUUAAUUCUAAACUUGGAACAUGGGACUCCCAAGAUCCUUCUAAUGGAGAGCUGAGCUGCUUUUCCCUCUGAGGCCUCAGAAGGAGGAGACCACAAAGGUUAGGGUCGCAAAGAAGCUAAGCCACGACCAUCUCAUUGCUACUGUUUCCAGCAAGGGCGCCAGAAGCUGGUCACCUGUGAGGACCUUAUAGUUGGCCAGUGGGAACCCAGGCUUGGAAGCUGGUCUUCUACCUCCUGCAGCAUCCUGGGUGCCAGCAGUGACUACAAGACUGGAGCUUCUAGAGUGGGGAGGACAGGGCUUGGGGAGCAGGGUGGCUUCUCCUUUUCUAAUUACCUUUUGACACUCCCUGUGCAGGUCAGAGGGAGGCAGUCACUCUUUUGAUGGAGGAUGACUGUGUGUGUGUGUGUGUGUGUGCAUGCAUGUCUGUGUGAGCAUGUUGUUAGGGAUCUAAUCCAGGGCUUUGCACAUCAUAGACAUGUACUUGACCAUUGAGCUGCAUUCCCAGCUCCUAGAAUGGCUUCUUUUUAAAUUUUUUUUAAAAAUUGUUGAUGGACUUUAUUUUCUUUAUUUUUAUGUGGUGCUGAGGAUCGAACCCAGUGCCUCAUGCAUGCUAGGUGAGCAUGCUACCACUGAGCCACAACCCCAGCUUGUUAGAGAGCCUGACCAAAGUUGAGAAGUCUUUAUGGAACCUCGCUAGUUCAAACAGCAAAGCUUUGGGUUUCAGGGGCUUUGGAGAGUUGCUUCUUCAGUUAGGAAGGCUGACAUUGCCUAAGCAAUGUCCCCUGCCUCCCAGAGCUGGAGAGGCUGCUUGGGGUUAAAGCUAUUUAAUGUGUUAGAACUCUGCCUAAUUUCUUCCCUUGGUAAAUGGAAAUGGUAAAGUUGUUAGAACUUUAAUGCACAUGAUAAAUCACCCAAGAAACUUGUUUAAAACGCAAAUCCCAGGGCCUAUGCUCAAGGCAUUCCAAUUCUUAGGUCUUAGGAAAGAUCUCAGAAAUCUGCAAUUUUAAUAUUUUCUUUGGGAUCACUGAUAUAGACAUUCCCUGGAGAACAAUUUUUUUUAAUAAAGGAAUAAGAGUAUACAGAAUUUGAGUAAAAUGAAGGCCAGAGCUCCUGGAGGGUUCUUUCUUCUCUUGUUUAAAGCUGAGUUUAAGGAUCAAAAAGGUUUCUUUUUCCCCCAAAGCCACUUGGAAUAGCCUCAUUUUUCUCAAACUGCCAGGAAAUAUCCAAAAGUUGACUUGUGGAGGAGCAGGAUUGGGAUGUGAACUGCAUGAGAAGAGACAAUCUUAAAAGACAUUUAAUUUAAUGAGCAGAAGGACCCCAAACCCUGGGAAGAAAAUCUUAGCGACACUUUUCAUAGUUGCCACAAGGUGGCGGUCUUCUGCAUCAAUUUGAAGAGGAAUGCCGGUUACCAUCAGGUUAGCUUGUUUUCAGUAUUAAAUAAGUCAUUAGUUUUAAAAAUGUGCAUUAAUUUUAAAAGGAGGCAAGGGGAAAUAAUUUAACAGAAGAGACUUCAAACUCACAUUUCAAUCAAAUACUGACACGCUCUAGAUGGAGGAAUUUAGUGAGAUUUCAACCUUAGAUCCCAGAAAAAAAGAUAAAAAUCUGUUUGAGAAAAGGCAGUAGUCUUUGUAAAAUGAAAAAUGUCAUUCAAAGAAAGCAUCUUAAAAGCAUUCCAAAAAGUUUGCUUUUUGGAGAGCCAGCAGUGCAAUUUGGUCAUUAAAAAUAAAGCACUAGUGUCUGGUAAAAUUUCCUUUUAUUAUUUGGUCUGCAGUCAGGACCAGAAAAUGAAAAAGAGAGAGGAAACCAAAGUUCUGGAUAAACAAAAGAGCAGUCAUGAACCAAAAAUGACGGCGGCAGAGCUGUGGCUUGGCUGGUGCAGGUUGAGCAUUUCUUCCCAGUUAGAUCAGGGGGAUCACCUUAAUUGCCCUGGGGGGCAUCUACAGGUGAGGGAAGCUAAGUGGGCUGAGAGCAGGGAUGCCUCGAGGACUCACUACAGCAUGCCUUCACUUCUGGGAGGUAAAGUCGACAGGUUCACUGUGAGUCUGCAACCUCAAGACUGGAGCAGCUAGUGGUUGGGAUUAUGGUGAGGCCAAGGGCACCAUCUCACAGGAAUAGGCUGCAAAACGCCUCAGGCCACUGGAGAGUACAAGGGACAGGGUUGCUUGUCACUUAGUGGGCUUUGGGCCAUGUGUGUCUAUAUCUGAGCACAUUAGUGCCAAGACAAACGCUGGCCAGAGCCUCACACUGAGUCAGCCCCCUGACUUGUUUGAAUGCAGGGACAAUUUGCCUGAGGUUAGUAGAAGGGGGAAUGGAAGAAUAAAAAUCACAGCCUCAUUUCCCAAGGGCAAAUGGAAAGGUUGGCCUCAUAUCUUACCCUCUCAUUUUAGCUUCAUCUGGAAGAAAAUCCCCAGAAAACACAUGAACAUUAUCGAAAGAGGCAAAGGGGCCACAAGGGCAUGCAAGGAGAUGAGGCGGUCCUCCUGUUCCCCAUUGUUCUCUCAGCAUAGGAAAUGGUGGGAGGGGGAACCUCCUGUCAAGAACAAUGACAAGAGAGCUGAGGGCCUUGUCUCUUAGAAGUUUGGAGAGUAUAGGAAAGACUCCUGGGAUGUUUUUUCUUCUUGUCUGUUCUCUCAUCAGCAACGUUUGGGGGUUGUUUGUGUACUGCUGGGGCACUGCCCUUUCUGUGCAGACUGCUUUCUAGAAAUGUGUCUUCAGCUCUUGGGAGAAAGUAGGACAGCAGGAGGCCAGGGCAUGGGCCUCAAGCUCUGGAUGUUUUGAGGGACAGCUGUUCAUUGGUUGUUCUAUGUUCAGUGCAACUCACAAUGGGGUGAUCAAACGAGUGCUUGGGAGAGAGCAGGCUGACAUUGCCUAAGCAAGGACAAGUACGUCCUUGGGUCGGUAUCCCACAACAACCUCCUCUAUGCUGUUAGGUAUUUGGAGGAGAUUCCUAUAUGGUGAGGAGUAGGGAUAAUCACCAGGUGGUCCCCUGUGGAAGAAUCUUUUCCCAUUGCAUUAUCCAUGGCUCUGGGGGCAUGUGCUGUCCACUUGCCAACUGCCAUGACACUGCUGGACUGUGUUUAAUAUAGAAUGCAGUAUACCACACAAAGGCCAGCAGCUUAUUUAAUGACCCUCUAAAGUAAAAUCAGAUCCCAUGCUGAAUGUGAUAAAUACCUUAUCUUUGGGGCACAUGUCUCACUGACAUGGAUUGAUUGACUUUCACUACUGCAGUCAACUCUUAGAGCCAGGAAUGGAGAAAGGUAGAGAGGGUUUCAAUGUUUGUGUUUGCUUGUUUUUGUCUUGCGUGAUGAACUUCAUGUUUGAAGAUGAGAUUUCUAACCCACAGAGUGAUUUUUGAAGAGUGGAGUGGGUUUGCAGGCCCAUGUCCACUCUCUCUCACAUCAUGCUCAUUGGUCAGCAUCAUGCAGGUGGUCAACCUGUCCUCUGAGAGGGAGAAGCGCUACCGGUUUGCCCAGGGGUUGGAGUUCUGAUCCUAGCCUCACCAGCCCAGAGCUCCCUGCAGCUGUGCCCCCUGUAUAGACAGGCUCCUCAUUGGCACCAUAUGCUCUCUCACAGGGUGGUCAAUAGGAAAUGAACCCUCCCUUAAAGGAGCCUUCAUUAUAAGUCUGAACAAUUCAACUGAAAAAUAAUAAAUUUUUACAGACAUAAAAUUAAAUAUUCAAUUUAAACUAAUACUAAAUUUAAUACACUGAUCUUAGAUCAACUCAACUAAUUGAGUUUCUCAUAUUUAGAUUUAAAAAGAAAAACCGAUUUCUUAAAAUGUAAUGUUUCCUUUGAAGCAGAUGUUGUGUUGACUAGUAGUCAACUUUGCAGAAUCUUAGACAUUUUAAUAUCAUUUUAGAUAAUUAGCUGUACUGAUUUAAUUCCCAACUACUGUGCCUUUGAUUUCCAUCUGGCUGCCAUGUAGAUAUCAGUCUCACAGGAAUCUUGCUGAAUGGCCAGUGUGCUGAAUGCUUUGAGAAAGCUUUAGAAUUACAGAGGGUAGUCUACUCCCCACACUAAGUGAGUGACUGUAUAAUUUAUUAUCCAAAUUGGGAUCUCAUUCAGGACAAAAGAAGUACUAGUAACACUUACUUCAGAAAAUAGGUGUAAAUUGAGACCUCCUUACCUACAGGUGAGAUUUUUGUUUUUCUUCAAAGUGAUUUCCCAGAAGGGAGAGAGACAUAGAAAUAAAAAUAGAUGAAGAUAUAAAUAUAGAUUUUAUUCAAGCUUUCAUGAAGUUUCUCAUAUUCUAGGUCAAUCCAAGUUCCUUUGGGAAAAAACAAAAACAACAAAAUACUGUUUAGGAAAGGUUCAUUAUCCUGAAAUUAUUCAACCACUGCUAGUUUUAUAUUUUUGUAGACACUUAUGGUCAUAGGGCUACAUGAAAGGUCCUCAAGAACCAAAGAAGAAUCUGGCCUCCAGAGCCCUACAUCCAUGCCAAGAAUGCCUGGGGAUGUGGAGGGACCUCAGGAAAGUAUAUUAUCUGUUCUUGGUUAUGGAGAGCAGUGAUUUGAAUCAUGGUCUUUCUGAUUGCCUCAUGGCUGCAUUUGUGCUGGUAACUUUCGGUGCAAAAUUGCAGGUCUAGAUUGUCCAGUUGCUAUGGUGACGCAGGCCGGAGGAUGCUACAUGCAAAGGCGCACAGCUGUAUCAGUUGAGACCUUGAGCUCAGACAUGAGCUCAGACACCAGCUCCCGAGCAUAGAAAAUUGUAAGCAAAACAAGAUGACCCUAAUGUCUCGCUGGUCCCACAUCCUUCAGAUUGCGUCCUUUGUUGAAACUUUCUCACAAAUAACCUUUUGAUGAAAUCUUUAUAAUAAACUUGCUGAGCUAGCUCUAGGUCAAACUCCAUCUGAGGUUGGCGACCCACCUGGCCCCACCUUCUUCUCUCUAUGUGUGUCUGUUCAUCUUUUCUUCAUCCCUCAUCACCACUCAUAUGGUUUCUUUCCCUGAGUUAAUGGCUGUGGCUGAGAGAUGGGGCUAUGUCACUAGGUGGCUUCUUCUUAAUUGUGAAGAAUCUGUUCUCUUACCUUGUUCCUUUACAGGAAAUUUACACUUUUUGAAGUGCUAGAGUGGGUUUAGAGGUGGAUGAGGAGAGCUAAGCCAGAGGACCUGAGAUGUGGGGCACUGAGGUGACUUGGUGGACUCCGCUCUGUUUUACUUUUCCCCACAUUUUGUUAUUGGUACAUUGCAGUUAUACAUAUGGAAGGGAUUUGUUGUUACGUAUUUGUAACAAUAUAACAAUAUAGCCAAUAUCAUUCCCCAGAAAUUCCCUCCUCCCUUCCACCUCCCACCCUUUGUCCCUUUCCUCUACUGAUAUCCCUUUGAUUUUUUAGGAGAUCUACCCUCACAUUUCUUUUCCUUUUUCCUCUCUAGUUUCUGCAUAUGACAGAAAAUGUAUGACCCUUGAUCUUCUGAGUCUGACUUAUUUUGCUUAACAUGAUGGUCUCUAGUUCCAUCCAUUUUUCUGCAAAAGCCAUAAUUUCAUUUUUCUUUACAGCUAAAUCAAAUUCCAUUUGUAGACCACAAUUUUUUUUUUAUCCAUUCAUCCUUUGAUGGACAGCUAGGCUGGCUCCAUGGUUUGGCUAUUGUGAGUUGUGUAGCUAGGUUUUAACGAGGGUCUGCAGAGGUGCUCAGCAUCAGCUUAGGGCUGGUGGCUCUGGCACACUUCCUUCUCCAACCAUAUCUAGUUAUCUUUCUGGUUGGUGACAGUUGAAAGUGGCUAACCAGUUACACGACUUCUUUGUAGGACUUGGUCAAAUCACAACUACCACCAGAGGGCUAUGACAUAAAACCAAGGAAGCAGAUUUCAUGUCUGCCACAAUCUUAGGGAUUCCAAUUCCUCCACAUCUGGUUUCUUUGAAACUGGAAUCCUUUGCUUGGGUAAAAUAUGCUCUUUCCUUCCUUGAAAAGUGCUUUCCUCUCAUUUCAAGCACAGAUGGUUGGAAUCCAGUCAUGAUCAAGAUCGUCACCAAGUGCUUCCCUGUGCACAUCCUCACACAGCUGGGUAUUGCGUCAGUCCUGAUCGGCCUUUCAAGAAAGGUGCUGGAAACCAGAAAGUGCUCAGGAGAGAGCUGCCAGCAUGGCACAGGAUCCGGAAACUGAAAUAAAUGAAGAACAAGCAAAAGAACAUAGAAUCUCUGGUUUGGAGAAGAGAAUACUCUGUUAAAUUGAGGGCUAGAAGUUGCUUGUAAUGCAGAAUUGGGAGCUGAUAUGGAUAAUUUGGGAUUUGCAAAGAUGAUAACAUAAUAAAAUUUAAG